AUUGGGGUCUAUCUCGAUAGGGCUUCUCCGGCAGCCGCACAUCAUUGGAAACGCCUCACGUGGUAACUUGUGGUUUUGCCUGACUCAGAACUGUUGAGUGGGUCUGUCGGAAGGAACUGCAAGGCAGCU